GAUUUGUUCGUUUAGAAUAUUUUGUAAUAAAGUUGUAAGAUCAGAACUGUAAAUUAUACACCAUUUAAUUUCAGUAACUUACUUGAUUUAACUGUCAGCACUACGCCUGUGCCAAAGAUCAUCUUAUAUCCAGUAGUCACACAUUAUGCGGACAUGAAGCAAAAACAUUCUUGCAUAAGAACCCAAUCUUAUGUCAUUAUUGUUCUACUUCACCCUUUUGCCUUACCUUAACAUUAUAUGCUGUUAUAUUUUAGUGUAGUUUGUACAUGGUUGUAGUUGACUUUACAUUAUGCACAGAUAAUAAGUGGUUGUGAUUUUUAUGUAAUUAAUGCGAACAACCAUACAUAAAUCCUAAUGUAAAAGAUUAGCUUUACUGUUUUUAUCAUUAUUUCAUAUUUUAUUUGAAACACUUACUUGUUUCAGUGAUUAAUUGGAUUCCAGAGCCAAAAUAGAUUUUCCAGUCUGAUUUAGUCACACACCGUACUAUCCCUAAGCAAUAACUCUUUAGCUACUCUGAUACAUUUGAUUAAAAUUCACUGUUGCAUUUCAUGAUAGAUAUUUACAACUGUUAAACAUUGACAUAUUUAUGAAAGUAUUUGAAUCUAAACAGAAGUUUUUAGGCAUUAAACUUUGCUAGUGAAAAAAGUUCAUAUUCUCACCGCAUUCUCAUUGUAUACUCUAUACAAUGAGAUAUAUAAUGUAUAUAUAAUAUAUAAUGUCUCUAUGGGGUAUAAUUAUCUAUUUCAUUUUUAAAAUUUUCCUAAUUAACGUUAGCCACUUACUUGUCUCAACAAUAAGUUUGAUUCCAGAGCCAAAGUAGAUUCUCCUAACCCCAUCAGUCACACACUGUUAUUUUCCUGAUCAAAACGUCUCUCUUCUAAAGCGGUAUUCUAGAUAUACUUAAUCAAAUUUGACUUUAAAUACUGAUUGCAUGGUAGAAAUGUAAAUAGAAGUUGUAUUCUUUUACUAUGUAUUUUUGAGCAUUACAAUAUGUUGAUAGUAGAUUUGCAAUAUCACAUGCCAGUAGUGUCACUAACUUAAACUCAGUUAAGAUUGAGAAAAUGUAUAGUUGUUUUUUGUUGUUGUUGUUGGUGGUGGUGGUGG
ensembl:lncRNA